rnacentral:rRNA from 1 species
UGCCAGACUCCUACGGGAGGCAGCAGUGAGGAAUAUUGGUCAAUGGGCGGGAGCCUGAACCAGCCAAGUCGCGUGAGGGAAGAAGGUACUGAGUAUUGUAAACCUCUUUUGCCAGGGGACAAAGGCGGCCACGGGUGGCCGUAAGAGGGUACCUGGAGAAAAAGCAUCGGCUAACUCCGUGCCAGCAGCCGCGGUAAUACGGAGGAUCCGAGCGUUAUCCGGAUUUAUUGGGUUUAAAGGGUGCGUAGGCGGUUUGAUAAGUUAGAGGUGAAAUGUCGGGGCUCAACCCCGAAACUGCCUCUAAUACUGUUGGACUAGAGAAUAGUUGCGGUAGGCGGAAUGUAUGGUGUAGCGGUGAAAUGCUUAGAGAUCAUACAGAACACCGAUUGCGAAGGCAGCUUACCAAACUAUAUCUGACGUUGAGGCACGAAAGCGUGGGUAGCAAACAGGAUUAGAUACCCUCGUAA